rnacentral:rRNA from 1 species
AUUGAACGCUGGCGGCAUGCUUUACACAUGCAAGUCGAACGGCAGCACGGGUGCUUGCACCUGGUGGCGAGUGGCGAACGGGUGAGUAAUGCAUCGGAACGUGCCCAUGAGUGGGGGAUAGCCCGGCGAAAGCCGGAUUAAUACCGCAUACGCCCUUAGGGGGAAAGCGGGGGAUCUUCGGACCUCGCGCUAUUGGAGCGGCCGAUGUCGGAUUAGCUAGUAGGUGGGGUAAAGGCUCACCUAGGCGACGAUCCGUAGCUGGUCUGAGAGGAUGAUCAGCCACACUGGGACUGAGACACGGCCCAGACUCCUACGGGAGGCAGCAGUGGGGAAUUUUGGACAAUGGGCGAAAGCCUGAUCCAGCCAUGCCGCGUGAGUGAAGAAGGGCCC